rnacentral:rRNA from 1 species
GACGAACGCUGUCGGCGUGCUUAACACAUGCAAGUCGAACGGAAAGGCCCUGCUUUUGUGGGGUGCUCGAGUGGCGAACGGGUGAGUAACACGUGAGUAACCUGCCCUUGACUUUGGGAUAACUUCAGGAAACUGGGGCUAAUACCGGAUAGGAGCUCCUGCUGCAUGGUGGGGGUUGGAAAGUUUCGGCGGUUGGGGAUGGACUCGCGGCUUAUCAGCUUGUUGGUGGGGUAGUGGCUUACCAAGGCUUUGACGGGUAGCCGGCCUGAGAGGGUGACCGGCCACAUUGGGACUGAGAUACGGCCCAGACUCCUACGGGAGGCAGCAGUGGGGAAUAUUGCACAAUGGGCGGAAGCCUGAUGCAGCAACGCCGCGUGCGGGAUGACGGCCUUCGGGUUGUAAACCGCUUUCGCCUGUGACGAAGCGUGAGUGACGGUAAUGGGUAAAGAAGCACCGGCUAACUACGUGCCAGCAGCCGCGGUGAUACGUAGGGUGCGAGCGUUGUCCGGAUUUAUUGGGCGUAAAGGGCUCGUAGGUGGUUGAUCGCGUCGGAAGUGUAAUCUUGGGGCUUAACCCUGAGCGUGCUUUCGAUACGGGUUGACUUGAGGAAGGUAGGGGAGAAUGGAAUUCCUGGUGGAGCGGUGGAAUGCGCAGAUAUCAGGAGGAACACCAGUGGCGAAGGCGGUUCUCUGGGCCUUUCCUGACGCUGAGGAGCGAAAGCGUGGGGAGCGAACAGGCUUAGAUACCCUGGUAGUCCACGCUGUAAACGGUGGGUACUAGGUGUGGGGUCCAUUCCACGGGUUCCGUGCCGUAGCUAACGCUUUAAGUACCCCGCCUGGGGAGUACGGCCGCAAGGCUAAAACUCAAAGGAAUUGACGGGGCCCCGCACAAGCGGCGGAGCAUGCGGAUUAAUUCGAUGCAACGCGUAGAACCUUACCUGGGUUUGACAUGGAUCGGGAGUGCUCAGAGAUGGGUGUGCCUCUUUUGGGGUCGGUUCACAGGUGGUGCAUGGCUGUCGUCAGCUCGUGUCGUGAGAUGUUGGGUUAAGUCCCGCAACGAGCGCAACCCUUGUUCACUGUUGCCAGCACGUUAUGGUGGGGACUCAGUGGAGACCGCCGGGGUCAACUCGGAGGAAGGUGGGGAUGACGUCAAGUCAUCAUGCCCCUUAUGUCCAGGGCUUCACGCAUGCUACAAUGGCUGGUACAGAGAGUGGCGAGCCUGUGAGGGUGAGCGAAUCUCGGAAAGCCAGUCUCAGUUCGGAUUGGGGUCUGCAACUCGACCUCAUGAAGUCGGAGUCGCUAGUAAUCGCAGAUCAGCAACGCUGCGGUGAAUACGUUCCCGGG